CAAGUCGAACGAGAAAGUGGAGCAAUCCAUGAGUACAGUGGCGUACGGGUGAGUAACACGUGGGUGAUCUACCUUUUAGUGAGGAAUAACCGAGGGAAACUUUGGCUAAUACCGCAUAAGCCCGAGAGGGGAAAGCAGAAAUGCGCUGAAAGAGGAGCCCGCGGCCGAUUAGCUAGUUGGUGGGGUAAGAGCCCACCAAGGCAGAGAUCGGUAGCCGGCCUGAGAGGGCACACGGCCACACUGGCACUGAAACACGGGCCAGACUCCUACGGGAGGCAGCAGUGGGGAAUCUUGCACAAUGGGGGAAACCCUGAUGCAGCGACGCCGCGUGAGCGAUGAAGCCCUUCGGGGUGUAAAGCUCUUUCGUCAGGGAAGAUAGUGACGGUACCUGGAGAAGCAGCUGCGGCUAACUACGUGCCAGCAGCCGCGGUAAUACGUAGGCAGCAAGCGUUGUUCGGAGUUACUGGGCGUAAAGGGUGUGUAGGCGGUUCUUUAAGUUUGGUGUGAAAUCUCCCGGCUCAACUGGGGGGGUGCGCCGAAUACUGAGGGACUAGAGUACGGGAGAGGAAAGUGGAAUUCCUGGUGUAGCGGUGAAAUGCGUAGAUAUCAGGAGGAACACCGGUGGUGUAGACGGCUUUCUGGACCGUAACUGACGCUGAGACACGAAAGCGUGGGUAGCAAACAGGAUUAGAUACCCUGGUAGUCCACGCCCUAAACGAUGCAUAUUUGGUGUGGGCAGUUCAUUCUGUCCGUGCCGGAGCUAACGCGUUAAAUAUGCCGCCUGGGGAGUACAGUCGCAAGGCUGAAACUCAAAGGAAUUGACGGGGGCCCGCACAAGCGGUGGAGCAUGUGGUUCAAUUCGACGCA
rnacentral:rRNA from 1 species